rnacentral:antisense_RNA from 1 species
GCCUCUCGCGCACCUCUACGUUUAACAACCUUCCCUUUGACUUCACGGAGAUACUGGAAACUGGAUGUCUUAGAGGAUUGAAUAGACGGAGAAGAUGAGCGUUUUGCCGGGCCAAACGCAUUGGGAUCGGUGUUAGCACAGAGAUUCGUCCAAGACUCGGGGCUCUCCAUAUGUCCAAUCGCACUUGGUUGAACGACAAUCACAGCCAACUUUCCCUCAGUAAGAUGCCACCCAAUAUGACAAUGCAAGGCCCAAACUCCAGGGUUAUCCGCUGUGAUCCUCAAUACCGCCCAACUUCCACCCUGUAUCCAGAGGGUAUCCUUUCUCACGGGGUUGUCCAAAGUGAAGUCAAUAUUAGUCAGGUUAUCAAUACUGAGAGCUCCAGUACCUCGUCCUAUCACCUGGAACUCGUUGCCGUGCAGGUGGUAAGGAUGGUCGAUGACGGUAUCAAGAUUGUUGAUGAUAAUGUUCCCUGGCCCGAAGUCGGGGAAAGUUCUACUGGAUACCAAUGUGUUCUCGCAGGAGCCUCCGCGUUGGACGAUUGAAAGUAGAGGGUUGAAGAUUUGGUUCUGAUAUGAGAUAUUGUUGAACCCAUAACCCUGGAAGGUAUUACCAAGAACAUUCACAAAGGCUCCUCGUUCGCUAUUGAAGAAAUGGCUUUGCAAAGGUUCCCGAGGUGCACUAAGACUGUCUCGUGGUGAAAGAGUAUAUGUUUGGUCCAGUCCAGUACAUGGAACGGUAACUCCCGCUAGAUCACUCCAAGCAGAAGUCUGAGGCUCCUCAGUACUAACGAUUCCAUUACCCGUAUACCUCACCACCGCCAAUCCCUCCUGACUUACUGCACCAAACAUACAGCUUAGAGCAACGCUAGUCCUCAGCCAAAACGCAUCACCUUCUUUCCCUUCAUUGGUGUUGAUAAUUGCAGAGUACCGUUCCCCGGGUGCGAUGGAGAUUUCAUGGACUGUCGGCCCAUAGACGGCAGUACCAUCGGCCUCCACAACUUCCAUAGGGUGGUUGUCGAUAGAUAUGCGGUACAUGGGAUGGGCGGUCGCGCUGAUAAAGCGCAGACGAACCCUGCAGUUGACGGGCACUUGGAUCUCCGGAGGUGGGGGAUAGAAGCAUGACGAGGAACCAGUAGCUGUGCAAUUUGUUUGGCCACGGCCGUUGAUGAGAAUCGCAUCACCUUGUGGAGGAGCAAUGUUUCCUUUGUAUCCUUCUGGAGUGGCUAGAGCUGCAAUGAUGAUUUCUGAGUUAUCAUGCAUCCAGUCAGUUAUAAAAACGAUUCGGUCCUCAUCAUAGUCUCGUCCCCUCUGAAGGGGUUCAUUGGGCGAGUGCACAAUUAGGGGGCCCCAAAUGCCGUCGGCCAUGGAAUUGGAGUAAUGGGAGUGCCACCAAUACGUGCCGGAUUGAUGGCUUACGGUGAAAUUGUAGGUAAAUGAGCCUCCAGGCGGAAUAGGACACUGAGUUAUACCAGGGACACCGUCCAUGAAAGCCGUGCCCAGCUGCCGCAAACCAUGCCAGUGGAGACUUUGUCCUUCAUCCAAAUGAUUGUUGACAUGUACGAUAAUAGUAUCGCCGGUGUUAGCCUCUAUCACAGGACCAGGGAACAUGUUGUUGACAACGUAAACCUCCCGUUCAUAACCAUCAGGGCUGGCGAAAGCGUUGGCGAUAUCGAAGGUAUACUCUCUCGUCGUCGGAACAUCUGUUAUUUCAAAGUCAUUUGAAAGAGCGAAUACACUAGGGUCAAUGGUUGCUGUCGCUUUCGGCAUAUAGUUAUCAGAAACCGCGGUUGGCGACUCAUCAGUCUUCUCGCUGCUGACCAGCGAAACGAAGGAACAGGAUAGGAAGAAAAGCUUGGCUAACCCCCGCAU